rnacentral:rRNA from 1 species
UACGUAGGGUGCAAGCGUUAUCCGGAAUUACUGGGCGUAAAGAGCUCGUAGGUGGUUUGUCGCGUUGUUCGUGAAAACUCACAGCUCAACUGUGGGCGUGCGGGCGAUACGGGCAGACUAGAGUACUGCAGGGGAGACUGGAAUUCCUGGUGUAGCGGUGGAAUGCGCAGAUAUCAGGAGGAACACCGGUGGCGAAGGCGGGUCUCUGGGCCGAUACUGACGCUGAGGAGCGAAAGCGUGGGGAGCAAACAGG